GCCUUGUGAUCUUUUGUCGAAAUGUGAGCAUUUGAAAAAAGCAGCCACUUCUCCCAGUCUUUGCAGACUGGCUCCAUGCAGGGGAAGACCUUCACUAAUCAGCCAGGCUUGAAGGCU